rnacentral:misc_RNA from 1 species
CCUUAAUCGUGUUUUAUUAACGCAUUUAGCCACUUGUAUUACUUGGGGGGUGGUGGGGCCCAACUGUUCUAGAACCACAAUCACCACCGCCACCGGAUUUGACAAUUCGAAGGUUUGUGCAUUGUGAUUCUGUUAUUUAUUUAUUUAUUUAUUUUUGUUCACAACGGACUGCCUAAUAUAUCGUGAGAGGCCAAAAGGGUCAUUUGGCCUCGAUGUCCUAAUUUGGGACCAUGUUCAUGCAAUAGAAUGUCGAAACUUCCCCAAAUUUUUAAUGGAAAUGGAUGUCAAAAUGGCAAAUAUACCCUUGAGCUGUUCUUUUUGCGAGCCGAUCGAUCCACAUCGGC